UAGGGAAUAUUGCGCAAUGGGGGAAACCCUGACGCAGCGACGCCGCGUGAGUGAUGAAGGCCUUCGGGUCGUAAAGCUCUGUUGCAAGGGAAAAAUUUUUGAUUGUACCUUGCGAGGAAGGAUCGGCUAACUUCGUGCCAGCAGCCGCGGUAAGACGAGGGAUCCUAGCGUUGUUCGGAAUCAUUGGGCGUAAAGCGGGUGCAGGUGGCUUUGUAAGUCAGGUGUGAAAGCCCAGGGCUCAACCCUGGAAGUGCAUUUGAUACUGCGAAGCUUGAGUGCUGGAGAGGCUACUAGAAUACCUGGUGUAGUGGUGAAAUACGUAGAUAUCAGGUGGAAUACCGGAGGCGAAGGCGGGUAGCCAGCCAGACACUGACACUCAGACCCGAAAGCGUGGGGAUCA
rnacentral:rRNA from 1 species